UAUAUUUUAGUGUAUGGUGCACAAUAAUUUUUGAUUUUAUUAGAUAUAGUUUAAUUCUAUAAAAUAUAA
rnacentral:tRNA from 1 species